rnacentral:rRNA from 1 species
GACGGAGGAUGCAAGCGUUAUCCGGAAUGAUUGGGCGUAAAGCGUCCGCAGGUGGCAGUUCAAGUCUGCUGUCAAAGACCGGGGCUUAACUUCGGAAAGGCAGUGGAAACUGAACAGCUAGAGUAUGGUAGGGGCAGAGGGAAUUCCUGGUGUAGCGGUGAAAUGCGUAGAUAUCGAGAGGAACACCAGUGGCGAAGGCGAGUCCCUGGACAACACCUGACACUGAGGCACGAAAGCUAGGGGAGCAAACAGG